rnacentral:misc_RNA from 1 species
AACGCAUAUUGCACUCCUUUGGAGUAUGCCUGUUUGAGAAUCUUUAGUAAUUCUUCUUGCUACCUUCCUUUUUGUAAGGUAGAAAGAGAUAUGAGGAGUCCCUUUGAUACUACAUGGUAGUACUUAUUCGAUUCGAAAGAGUCAAGUAAAGAAAGGGUGCCUUGAAAGAGAUUGCUGCAGCGGCACAAGGUGUCUGACGUUAGGAACGACCAGCAGCGACGUAUGUGAAAGAAACUUUGUUUCUCAUAAUGCCGAGAUGUUUGGAAGGGACUGGCUAGUCUUGAGCUCUGCGGUUCUAAUACCAAAGAAGGGGCGAAAGCCUCUUGAACCUUGGUCUCAAAUCAGGUAGGAAGACCCGCUGAACUUAA